GAUGAACGCUAGCUACAGGCUUAACACAUGCAAGUCGAGGGGCAGCAUGGUCUUAGCUUGCUAAGGCCGAUGGCGACCGGCGCACGGGUGAGUAACACGUAUCCAACCUGCCGUCUACUCUUGGACAGCCUUCUGAAAGGAAGAUUAAUACAAGAUGGCAUCAUGAGUCCACAUGUUCACAUGAUUAAAGGUAUUCCGGUAGACGAUGGGGAUGCGUUCCAUUAGAUAGUAGGCGGGGUAACGGCCCACCUAGUCUUCGAUGGAUAGGGGCUCUGAGAGGAAGGUCCCCCACAUUGGAACUGAGACACGGUCCAAACUCCUACGGGAGGCAGCAGUGAGGAAUAUUGGUCAAUGGGCGAGAGCCUGAACCAGCCAAGUAGCGUGAAGGAUGACUGCCCUAUGGGUUGUAAACUUCUUUUAUAAAGGAAUAAAGUCGGGUAUGGAUACCCGUUUGCAUGUACUUUAUGAAUAAGGAUCGGCUAACUCCGUGCCAGCAGCCGCGGUAAUACGGAGGAUCCGAGCGUUAUCCGGAUUUAUUGGGUUUAAAGGGAGCGUAGAUGGAUGUUUAAGUCAGUUGUGAAAGUUUGCGGCUCAACCGUAAAAUUGCAGUUGAUACUGGAUAUCUUGAGUGCAGUUGAGGCAGGCGGAAUUCGUGGUGUAGCGGUGAAAUGCUUAGAUAUCACGAAGAACUCCGAUUGCGAAGGCAGCCUGCUAAGCUGCAACUGACAUUGAGGCUCGAAAGUGUGGGUAUCAAACAGGAUUAGAUACCCUGGUAGUCCACACGGUAAACGAUGAAUACUCGCUGUUUGCGAUAUACAGCAAGCGGCCAAGCGAAAGCGUUAAGUAUUCCACCUGGGGAGUACGCCGGCAACGGUGAAACUCAAAGGAAUUGACGGGGGCCCGCACAAGCGGAGGAACAUGUGGUUUAAUUCGAUGAUACGCGAGGAACCUUACCCGGGCUUAAAUUGCAGAUGAAUUACGGUGAAAGCCGUAAGCCGCAAGGCAUCUGUGAAGGUGCUGCAUGGUUGUCGUCAGCUCGUGCCGUGAGGUGUCGGCUUAAGUGCCAUAACGAGCGCAACCCUUGUUGUCAGUUACUAACAGGUUCCGCUGAGGACUCUGACAAGACUGCCAUCGUAAGAUGUGAGGAAGGUGGGGAUGACGUCAAAUCAGCACGGCCCUUACGUCCGGGGCUACACACGUGUUACAAUGGGGGGUACAGAGGGCCGCUACCACGCGAGUGGAUGCCAAUCCCAAAAACCUCUCUCAGUUCGGACUGGAGUCUGCAACCCGACUCCACGAAGCUGGAUUCGCUAGUAAUCGCGCAUCAGCCACGGCGCGGUGAAUACGUUCCCGGGCCU
rnacentral:rRNA from 1 species